rnacentral:rRNA from 1 species
GAACUAGGGAGUCAGUUCGGCUUGGAUUUGGAUACAGGUGUUUGCAUGGCUGUCGUCAGCUCGUGUCGUGAGAUGUCGGGUUAAGUCCUUUAACGAGCGCAACCCUCAUUGCAUGUUAAUUUUUCAUGCGAGACUGCCCUGGGUUUAACAGGGAGGAAGGUGGGGAUGACGUCAAGUCAGCAUGGCCCUUACACCUUGGGCUACACACGUGUUACAAUGGCCGGUACAAUAAGUCGCAAUACCGUAAGGUGGAGCUAAUCUAUGAAAACCGGUCCCAGUUCGGAUUGGGGGCUGAAACUCGCCCCCAUGAAGUCGGAAUCGCUAGUAACCGUGAAUCAGCACGUCACGGUGAAUACGUUCCCGGGUCUU